CCUCCAGGCCUGGCAGUUCCAGGGUGAGAGGAAGGUCACACUAUCUCUGGGCGCACUACAGCCUUUGCCUCCUGCCUGGACCAGGCAGUAUCAGGCACUGGGAUCGAGAGAACAUGCCAAACAAUGGGCUGGACUAGGAGGUAAGAGCUGGAGUCAGGGAGGGGGUGGGCACACCCUUUCCUUGCUUCAGGGAUGUGCAAACCCCUUCAGCAGCCCUGGGAACAGGCCAGUUCAAGCCCUGCUUCUGGAGAAACAUGCUCUGCCAUUGAGGCUGGAAGCUCUGGCCCUGCGUGGUUCUUGAAACCUUGGAAUGCAUCUAUCCAACACCCUCUAUAUGCCAUCUGACCCACACCCCCGAAACCUAUGCCCAUCACUCCUCCCUCCCUUCCCCUUACUCUGUCUGCCCAGCCACAAUGGUGCCUGCUGUGCCCUGAACACAGCAGCUCGACUCCUACCUCAGGGCCUUUGCACAUGCUGUUCCCUCUGCCUGGCUCACUUCACUCAUUAGGCAGAGGGCUAUUUAGGCCUCUACUUGAAUGCCACCUUCUCGGUGAGGCCCUCCCUACCUGUUCACUCUGUUAAAAUUGCAAACAUCCCCACACUCCCUAACCUCCAUCUGGCUUUCUUUUACCCUGCAGCAUUUAUAACCCCGGGGCAUGGAUGUUACACAGUUUGUGUUUCCCCUUCCUGUUGCUGCUGUAACAAAUCGCUAGGAACUUGGGAACUGGAAAUAACACCCAUGCGUGACCUUGCAGUUCUGGAGGGCUGAAGCCUGCAGUGGGGCUCAGCAGGCUAAAAUCAAGGUGGCCAUGUUCCUUCUAGAGGCUCACAGGGAAAAUCCAUUUCUCCAGCUUCUCAAGGCCACCUGCAUUCCAGGGCUCAUGACUCCAUCCUCCAUCUUCAAAGUCAGCAACGGACAUGAGCAACAGCUUGCCGAGAAAGAAGGACGACGGCAACAAGUGGCUUUUGAGCACAGGGAGAGACGCUUGGCCACACACAGCUACAGGCAGAGAUCUGGGAAACAGACUGCCAGGUAAAGCAGGUGAGAAACAGAACUUUUCUGCAAAUCAGAACACUCAUCAUAAAAUGUUUGCUUCACAAGGACACAUAUACAUCCAGGGACCUAUGUCAUGGGCCCCGGUAUCGAGGCUCAAGGAGAAAAUAAAAUAAAACAAUGGAUUGUCCUGACAUGCGACAGUGACGCUAUGGGGUUUUUGUUUUUUUAGAUGGAGUCUCACUUUGUCACCCUAUUGUCAGUGUGGCUCAGAUGCAGCUCCUGCCACUGACCAUGUGACUCUGGCAGGUCACACCCCCUCUCUGAGCCUCCCUUCUAUCACCUAUAAAAUACUUGUCUCUGAGUCCUACACAUAUUAAACACUCCAAAGAUCUCA